rnacentral:SRP_RNA from 1 species
UCGUGCUAGGUGGGAAGUUAGCGGUGUCCUGUACCCGAAAUCCGCUAUAGCGGGACCGAAUCCCCACUUGAGAUCCGGAUUCCGCGGGACUGUGCCUCCGGGAUGGUGUUGAGGGCCGGGUCCUGCGCGGCAGAGCGCUAUGAACCCCGUCAGGUCCGGAAGGAAGCAGCGGUAAGUAGCAUCCUCUGGGUGCCGCAGGGUUGCCUGGCCGGAGCUGUACUUGGGGCACAAGCCACGGGAUUGGGAGCGAGGGUGGGUGCACGA